rnacentral:rRNA from 1 species
GACGAACGCUGGCGGCGUGCUUAACACAUGCAAGUCGAACGGAAAGGCCCUGCUUUUGUGGGGUUCUCGAGUGGCGAACGGGUGAGUAACACGUGAGUAACCUGUCCUUGACUUUGUGAUAACUUCAGGAAACUGGGGCUCAUAUCGGAGAGGAGCUCCUGCUGCAUGUUGGUGGUUGGAAAGUUUCGGCGUUUGGGGAUGGACUCGCGGCUUAUGGGCUUGUUGGUGGGGUAGUGGCUUACCAAGGCUUUGACGGGUAGCCGGCCUGAGAGGGUGACCGGCGACAAUGGGACUGAGGUACGGACCAGACUCCUACGGGAGGCAGCAGGGGGGAACAUUGCACAACGGGCCGAAGCGUGAUGCAGAAACGCCGCGUGCGGGAUGCCCGCCUACGGGUGAUAAACCGCUUUCGCCUGUGACGAAGCGUGAGUGACGGUAAUGGGUAAAGAAGCACCGGCUAACUACGUG